rnacentral:rRNA from 1 species
CCGCCGAAAAUCUAAGGGUUCCUGGGCCAGGUGACUCCGCCCAGGGUUAGUCGGAUCCUAAGGCGAGGCCGAAAGGCGUAGUCGAUGGAUAACAGGUUAAUAUUCCUGUACUUAGUAAUAAUCGCUUGACUAGAAGGAGUGACGGAGAAAGGUAGCACAGCCGCCUGUUGGAUGGUGGUUUAAGCGAGUAGGGGGAUAGAGUAGGCAAAUCCGCUUUAUCUUAACCCUGAGACGUUAUGACGAGGGCCUGGCCCGAAGUGUGUGAUCCUCUGCUUCCCAGAAAAGCUUCGCUAGGAGAUUGUUAUUAAUCCGUACCGUAAACCGACACAGGUAGAUGAGGAGAGAAUCCUCAGGCGCUUGGGAUAACUUCAUGUUAAGGAACUCUGCAAAUUGGUGCCGUAACUUCGGGAGAAGGCACGCCUUUGUUGGUGACAUCACUUGCUGGUGGAGCUGGCGAAGGCCGCAGUGAAAAGGGGGUAGCGACUGUUUAUCAAAAACAUAGGUCUAUGCAAACACGUAAGUGGACGUAUAUGGACUGACGCCUGCCCGGUGCUGGAAGGUUAAAAGGAGGGGUUAGCGCAAGCGAAGCUCUGAAUUGAAGCCCCAGUAAACGGCGGCCGUAACUAUAACGGUCCUAAGGUAGCGAAAUUCCUAGUCGGGUAAGUUCCGACCUGCACGAAUGGCGUAACGACUUCCCCACUGUCUCAACAGAAGACCCAGCGAAAUUGGAGUGCGAGUGAAGAUACUCGCUACCCGCGGAAGGACGAAAAGACCCCGUGAACCUUUACUGUAGCUUGGCAUUGGGUUUCGAGUAACAAUGCGUAGGAUAGGUGGGAGAUGUUGAUCCGUGUGUUCCGGCAUACGGGGAGUCAUCCUUGAAAUACCACCCUUUGUUACUUGGAAUCCUAACCUACCGUCAUAAUCUGGCGGGGGGACAAUGUCUGGUGGGCAGUUUGACUGGGGCGGUCGCCUCCUAAAGAGUAACGGAGGCGCACGAAGGUUCUCUCAAGCCGUACGGAAAUCGGCUGUAGAGUGUAAACGCAUAAGAGAGCUUAACUGCGAGACAAACAAGUCGAGCAGGUACGAAAGUAGGUGUUAGUGAUCCGGUGGUUCCGAGUGGAAGGGCCAUCGCUCAACGGAUAAAAGGUACUCCGGGGAUAACAGGCUGAUCUCCCCCAAGAGUUCACAUCGACGGGGAGGUUUGGCACCUCGAUGUCGGCUCAUCGCAUCCUGGGGCUGGAGCAGGUCCCAAGGGUUUGACUGUUCGUCAAUUAAAGCGGUACGCGAGCUGGGUUCAGAACGUCGUGAGACAGUUCGGUCUCUAUCCUCCGUGGGCGUAAGAAAUUUGAGUGAAUCUGUCCUUAGUACGAGAGGACCGGGAUGGACAAACCUAUGGUGAAUCGGUUGUGACGCCAGUUGCAUCGCCGAGUAGCUAAGUUUGGAAGGGAUAACCGCUGAAAGCAUCUAAGUGGGAAGCCCAUCACAAGAUAAGAUUUCUAUUAGACGGCUUGUAGACCACGAGCUUGAUAGGUCAGAGGUGUAAGUGCAGUAAUGUAUUGAGCUGACUGAUACUAAAUUGUCGUUUUGCUUUUAUAAUUUUUCUUU